rnacentral:rRNA from 1 species
AGAGUUUGAUCCUGGCUCAGGAUGAACGCUAGCGGGAGGCUUAACACAUGCAAGUCGAGCGGGAGGGGUAGCAAUACCCUGAGAGCGGCGCACGGGUGCGUAACGCGUAUGCAACCUGCCUUAUACAAAGGGAUAGCCCAUGGAAACGUGGAUUAAUAUCUUAUAGGACUUAUGAAUCGCAUGGUUUAUAAGUUAAAACUACGGUGGUAUAAGAUGGGCAUGCGUCUGAUUAGGUAGUUGGUAGGGUAACGGCCUACCAAGCCGACGAUCAGUAGGGGUUCUGAGAGGAUUACCCCCCACACUGGUACUGAGACACGGACCAGACUCCUACGGGAGGCAGCAGUGAGGAAUAUUGGUCAAUGGGCGAGAGCCUGAACCAGCCAUCCCGCGUGCAGGAUGACGGCCCUAUGGGUUGUAAACUGCUUUUCUGCUCCAAGAAACCCACCUACGUGUAGGUGGUUGACGGUAGAGUAGGAAUAAGCAUCGGCUAACUCCGUGCCAGCAGCCGCGGUAAUACGGAGGAUGCAAGCGUUAUCCGGAUUCAUUGGGUUUAAAGGGUGCGCAGGUGGGAAUGUAAGUCAGUGGUGAAAUACUGCCGCUUAACGGUAGAGCUGCCAUUGAUACUGCGUUUCUUGAGUAUGGUUGAGGUAGGUGGAAUGUGUUGUGUAGCGGUGAAAUGCAUAGAUAUGACACAGAACGCCGAUUGCGAAGGCAACUUACUAAGCCAUUACUGACGCUGAGGCACGAAAGCGUGGGUAGCGAACAGGAUUAGAUACCCUGGUAGUCC